GACGAACGCUGGCGGCGUGCUUAACACAUGCAAGUCGAACGAAGAGCGAUGGAAGCUUGCUUCUAUCAAUCUUAGUGGCGAACGGGUGAGUAACGCGUAAUCAACCUGCCCUUCAGAGGGGGACAACAGUUGGAAACGACUGCUAAUACCGCAUACGAUCUAAUCUCGGCAUCGAGGAUGGAUGAAAGGUGGCCUCUAUUUAUAAGCUAUCACUGAAGGAGGGGAUUGCGUCUGAUUAGCUAGUUGGAGGGGUAACGGCCCACCAAGGCGAUGAUCAGUAGCCGGUCUGAGAGGAUGAACGGCCACAUUGGGACUGAGACACGGCCCAGACUCCUACGGGAGGCAGCAGUGGGGAAUCUUCCGCAAUGGACGAAAGUCUGACGGAGCAACGCCGCGUGAGUGAUGACGGCCUUCGGGUUGUAAAGCUCUGUUAAUCGGGACGAAAGGCCUUCUUGCGAACAGUUAGAAGG
rnacentral:rRNA from 1 species